UGGCAGGUACAGAGGGAGUGCUACCGGGCGACCGGAUGCGGAUCUCGAAAGCCUGUCCCAGUUCGGACUGGAGUCUGCAACCCGACUCCACGAAGUUGGAUUCGCUAGUAAUCGCGCAUCAGCCAUGGCGCGGUGAAUACGUUCCCGGGCCUUGUACACACCGCCCGUCAAGCCAUGGGAGCCGGGGGCGCCUGAAGUCCGGGACCGCGAGGACCGGCCUAGGGCGAAACUGGUAACUGGGGCUAAGUCGUAACAAGGUACC
rnacentral:rRNA from 1 species